rnacentral:rRNA from 1 species
GUCUGUUUGAUUUAAUUAACAGUCUGACCUGCCCAUUGAUUUUUUUAAAAGGCCGCGGUAUAAUGACCGUGCGAAGGUAGCAUAAUAAUUAGUCUUUUAAUUGAAGACUGGAAUGAAAGGUUGGACAAAAAGCAAUCUGUCUCAGCUUAAAAAUUGAAAUUAACUUUUAAGUGAAAAGGCUUAAAUAAUCUUAAAAGACGACAAGACCCUAUAAAACUUUAUAUAAUUAAUACUACUUUUAAAUUUAUAUAUUUAAAUAAAACUAUUAUUACUUGUAUUACGUUGGGGCGACGAGAGUAUAAUUAUAUAACUGCUCUAUUUUUAAACAAUAAUAUUUGUUCUUCAAUGACCCUUUUUUAUAGAUCAAAAGAAAAAGUUACUUUAGGGAUAACAGCGUAAUUUUUUUUGAGAGUCCUUAUCGACAAAAAAGCUUGCGACCUCGAUGUUGAAUUAAAGUCCCACUGUAGUGCAGCAAUUAUAGAGGUAGGUCUGUUCGACCUUUAAAACUUUACAUGAUUUGAGUUCAAACCGGCGUGAG